AUUGAACGCUGGCGGCAUGCCUAAUACAUGCAAGUCGAACGAGUGGCGGACGGGUGAGUAAUGUCUGGGAAACUGCCCGAUGGAGGGGGAUAACUACUGGAAACGGUCGCUAAUACCGCAUACCAUCGGAUGUGCCCACAUGGGAUUAUCUAGUAGGUGGGGUAAAGGCUCACCUAGGCGACGAUCCCUAGCUGGUCUGAGAGGAUGACCAGCCAAACUGGGACUGAGACACGGUCCAGACUCCUACGGGAGGCAGCAGUGGGGAAUAUUGCACAAUGGGCGCAAGCCUGAUGCAGCCAUGCCGCGUGUAUGAAGAAGGCCUUCGGGUUGUAAAGUACUUUCAGCGGGGAGGCGUUACCCGCAGAAGAAGCACCGGCUAACUCCGUGCCAGCAGCCGCGGUAAUUC
rnacentral:rRNA from 1 species